AGUGAACGCUGGCGGUAGGCCUAACACAUGCAAGUCGAGCGGCAGCACAGUAAGAGCUUGCUCUUACGGGUGGCGAGUGGCGGACGGGUGAGGAAUACAUCGGAAUCUACUUUUUCGUGGGGGAUAACGUAGGGAAACUUACGCUAAUACCGCAUACGACCUACGGGUGAAAGCAGGGGAUCUUCGGACCUUGCGCGAUUGAAUGAGCCGAUGUCGGAUUAGCUAGUUGGCGGGGUAAAGGCCCACCAAGGCGACGAUCCGUAGCUGGUCUGAGAGGAUGGUCAGCCACACUGGAGGUGAGACACGGUCCAGACGCCUACGGGAGGCAGCAGUGGGGAAUAUUGGACAAUGGGCGCAAGCCUGAUCCAGCCAUACCGCGUGGGUGAAGAAGGCCUUCGGGUUGUAAAGCCCUUUUGUUGGGAAAGAAAAGCAGCAGGUUGAUACCCCGCUGUUCUGACGGUACCCAAAGAAUAAGCACCGGCUAACUUCGUG
rnacentral:rRNA from 1 species